CAGAGAGGCAGCAAAGGCACACAGCUGACCUUCCUCCUCGACUGACAUCCCAUAAGGAAAGAGCUUCUUCUCCUUCUCCACAGUGUCUUAAAAACCUUUCAAACCAAACAUCACUCCUUUCUACCUCCUGUGAGUCUCUCUAUGAAUCUUCCUGACUUCCUCCCACUCUCUAUGGUUUUUCCUAUAUUCACUCCUUGUCAACUCAUUGUUUGCUCUGCCUCUUGACUUAUGGUUGACUUUUUAAAAUCACCACUGUCCUGUCCUGAGCCUGGUCAUGAGCUGUCUUCCCCAUAGGCUCACUGUGGCUCUAGCUGUCUCUGCAGUGUGGAACACAAGCAUAUGUGGCCACACUUGGGUGCACACUGACUUGUAUCAUUCAUUCCUGUAAGAUAUCGUUCUCUAAUGCAACUGAACAGUGAUUGUGCAAUGUUUUGCAGUCUCCACUUUGAAUAAUUUCUGAAAACCUGAUAUCAAAGAUUAAAAUGACUGUUCCAAUGGGGUAUAAUGGUGGAAUAUGCUAUAUGAUAGGAAAAUAAAUGGUUUUCUAUGUCAGUGCUUACCAGUAGCAUGGUUUGUGUAAAAAUUUUUUCAAUUGGAAUUGAGCAAAAUUUUUCUAAAAAUACUAUUUCGAUUAGCUAACAAAAGAAAGGAAGGAAGGAAGGAAGGAAGGGAGGAAGGAAGGAAGGAAGGAAGGAGGAAAGAAACUGUUUUCUAUACCCAAAGCAUCACCGUCUGUUGGGGGUAAAAGGACAAGUUCUGACCAAACCUGACUAAAAUCCUGGAAUUACAGCCUAGGGAGGAUUCAAUUUUAAAGUCACCUGCACUAGCAUCAAAUGUCACAGCGAGGUAUUAAGUCUAUGGUGGCAUCCACACUUGCAUGUAGCUCAGGGUUAAUGACCUCCAUGAUUUUGAAUCACGCUGAGCUGAACAACUGUGCCACCAUUCAACAAGCCUGAUCUCUCCCAGGAUCUGUAGCUUUGAGUGUCUGACAGUGGUAAUAGUGCGGGCCAAGUUGUCCAUUGGUUCCUGGUGGGAAUUCAGACCAUCCACUGCCCUUCCCAUUCUCAUGUGAAACCCAGGUACUGCUUUAGAAAGUUCGUUCAUCUUCUAGCAGAGGCCUUUGUAAGCUGCUCAUCUGCAUUGAAACAGCAUGGUCAUCAGAACAGUGAAGAGGAAUAACAGCGACUUCACCAGGAAGCACAAUGGAAGCCCAAGUCGCUCCUAUUCCUAGUGUCCAGGAACAGCAUUAAAGAAGAUCAGAGAGACCACAAGAGCCAGAGAUCGGAGAGAAGCAGAGUGGAGCAGCGCCUUCCCCACAGGAGAAGACUUGCAUCUUGGUUACCUAUGUAAGACCUGUACAAGAUCAACUCUGUCAGCACUCCAGCAUCGAGGGUGGAGGGACCGAUGUGCCAUAAUCACUAUCUAAGGGGCUGUGGACUGUUGAUGGUUUCUGCUGAGGAAGUCAGUUUUGUUUAAGUGCAGUGGAAGAUCCUGUGACUGUUCCUGCUCACUGCGGACCAGAAUCCAGGACCAGCCCCGAAGUUUGCCCAAUUUGUGGUUGAAUCAUUGCUCAGAUUGUUAAGGGAGUAAAUACCAUGACUGCAAAGUAUCCUGGAACCUGAAAGAAGCAUGAAAAAUGGAGACUGUAGGAAUAAGUUUCUUAGUUUUGAGAAGGUUCAUUAUUGCUUCUCUGACCUCUGGUCCUUACAGGACAGAGUGUCACAUUCAGCACUGAAGCGUGGCCAGCAGUUACCACCUGGACAUUUUCAGGUGAGGUAUCCUUGGCGUUCCCUUAAUGUUACUCUAUCGGAGUACUGACAUCUUUUUCCAUUUUUCUUACUGGCUCAUUGGAUUUUCAGGAAACACCCGAGUUAUGCACACAUGCAUUAUUAUUAUCAAUAUUAGCAUGUAUGAAAUUCCAGAUUGUCAAUAUUGGAGAUCAAGCCUUAACACUUCAUAAUUAUUAGGUAAGUUCUCCGCUGCUCAGGUACAUUGGCAAUCCUAGCAGCUGCUUUAAAUUCCUAGGCAGUUCUUCCAUGCAGACCCCCAUUUGUUCAGUGUUUGGAACCUUAGUUUGAAUGUUAGGUGGGCAAG